rnacentral:rRNA from 1 species
AACGAACGCUGGCGGCAUGCCUAACACAUGCAAGUCGAACGAGACCUUCGGGUCUAGUGGCGCACGGGUGCGUAACGCGUGGGAACCUGCCCUUAGGUUCGGAAUAACUCCCCGAAAGGGGUGCUAAUACCGGAUAAUGUCUUCGGACCAAAGAUUUAUCGCAUGUGGAUGGGCCCGCGUUGGAUUAGCUAGUUGGUAGGGUAAAAGCCUACCAAGGCGACGAUCCAUAGCUGGUCUGAGAGGAUGAUCAGCCACACUGGGACUGAGACACGGCCCAGACUCCUACGGGAGGCAGCAGUGGGGAAUAUUGGACAAUGGGCGAAAGCCUGAUCCAGCAAUGCCGCGUGAGUGAUGAAGGCCUUAGGGUUGUAAAGCUCUUUUACCCGGGAUGAUAAUGACAGUACCGGGAGAAUAAGCUCCGGCUAACUCCGU